AUAGUCUGAGCAAUAACAUCUAUUGGCUUUCUAGGUUUCACUGUAUGAGCUCACCACAUGUUCACCUUGGGAAUAGAUAUUGAUACAUGAGCAUACUUCACAUCAGCUACCAUAAUCAUUGCUAUUUCCACAGGAAUAAAAAUAUUUAGCUGACUCACCACCCUUCAUGGAGUCAACAUUGAAUGAUCCCCCGCUAUACUAUGAGCCUUAGGCUUUAUUUUCCUAUUUACCAUAGGAGGCUUACCAGGCACUGUAUUAGCAAACUCUUCACUAGACAUUGCUCUUCAUGACACAUACUACAUAGGGCCCACUUUUAU